GAUGAACGCUGGCGGCGUGCCUAAUACAUGCAAGUCGAGCGAACAGACGAGGAGCUUGCUCCUCUGACGUUAGCGGCGGACGGGUGAGUAACACGUGGAUAACCUACCUAUAAGACUGGGAUAACUUCGGGAAACCGGAGCUAAUACCGGAUAAUAUAUUGAACCGCAUGGUUCAAUAGUGAAAGACGGUUUUGCUGUCACUUAUAGAUGGAUCCGCGCUGCAUUAGCUAGUUGGUAAGGUAACGGCUUACCAAGGCAACGAUGCAUAGCCGACCUGAGAGGGUGAUCGGCCACACUGGAACUGAGACACGGUCCAGACUCCUACGGGAGGCAGCAGUAGGGAAUCUUCCGCAAUGGGCGAAAGCCUGACGGAGCAACGCCGCGUGAGUGAUGAAGGUCUUCGGAUCGUAAAACUCUGUUAUUAGGGAAGAACAUAUGUGUAAGUAACUGUGCACGUCUUGACGGUACCUAAUCAGAAAGCCACGGCUAACUACGUG
rnacentral:rRNA from 1 species